UACGUAGGGGGCAAGCGUUGUCCGGAAUCAUUGGGCGUAAAGAGCGCGUAGGCGGUCCGGUAAGUCGGUUGUGAAAACUGGGGGCUCAACCCUCAGAGGCCGACCGAUACUGUCGGGCUAGAGUCCGGAAGAGGCGAGUGGAAUUCCUGGUGUAGCGGUGAAAUGCGCAGAUAUCAGGAGGAACACCUAUUGCGAAGGCAGCUCGCUGGGACGUAACUGACGCUGAGACGCGAAAGCGUGGGGAGCAAACAGG
rnacentral:rRNA from 1 species